rnacentral:lncRNA from 1 species
UCCCAUAUUGCUAAAGAAUGUUGGGUUGCAAACUAUCUUACUAGCACCGAACGGUGGCUACAGAACAACUUCAUUCUACCGAACGUGGUUACCCAGAUACCGUUCGGUCUCUUUGUUUUACAGACUUUUUGUUAUUUCUACUUUCCUUUUUUUUAUUUUUUCUUUUCCUUUGUUUAUAUUCCUUGCUUCCGCUGUACUAAACUCACUUUUCAAUAAUAUUCGUUCAUAGAUUUGUUCUCUCUGGGGUUCUUGUUUCUCUCUUCUCACAAUUCUUACAUGGUAUCAGAAGAAAGAAAAUAAUUAGGGUCCGUUGUUUGCCCUCUUUUCUUCAUCUUCUGUCUGAUCCCUUUCUCAUGGCUUCCUCCACUCCAACCACCACCGUCGUUGCCUCGUCCUCCACCACCGAUCAUCUUACCAAUCCUGCUCAUCCUCUAUUUCUUCAUCCUAGCGAAAACUCAGCCCUCAUUCUUGUCAAUCCGCCUCUCU